GCUGCAGCCCCUAAUACUCUCCAUUGCCCCUUGGAGAGGGAGGGAAUGAGGCAGAAAUGUCGAGCAGUAGCAGGUUGUUGCUCAGAGGGAAGAGAAGGUAGAAGUUUGAUCUUGUGAAACACGUUCCAAAGUUCCUAAGGAAAGUAUUCCGCUGAGCCUCGUUGCAAACUGGCCAUUAGCAGGAUUACAUCUUUAUAUCCACAGAGCAAAUAAGUGGAACUGAAAGGAACACUUUCAGAGGAAGGAGAAUCACUCCCUGAACUGUUUUAGAUGUUAGCAGCAGCAAGACACAAACAAUGCAGACACGUUGAGAGGUACCCUGUCAGGAGGAAUGUUGCCUUUCAUUUGAUGAUCGUUUUUGCAGACAAAAAAGGAGAAAUGUGCUGUGUCUCCGCUGUCGAAGAGCCAGACGCAAGCAGACCAACCUGGAUACGUGUGCGGAGAGGCCACACGUGGGGAGCGACACAGCCAACGGCAAACAAGGACAGCUGGUGUGUGGUGAGUCUCUGGGCCUGAUUCUCUUCUCUUUCCCAGCCCUACACUUUGUGGAAAUGGACCUUCCGUUUUAGCCUAAUAACGAGUCCAGAAUGCAGUAUAAUGAGUGUGAGUGCUGUCAGACAGCAGACCUUAAAGUUUUCUCAGCCUUUCAACAGACAUGGGCAGACUUCUGGCCCUUUUGCCUGGAGCUUUGAUUAAACUCUUGCUAAAGUUUCCCUUUGUUGAUAUGUUCCCUUUCAGGCAGAGGUGAAGAGUAGGGGGAAAAGCAGCCUGUGUCUGAGAGCAUGCAGGCUCCCAUCUCUGUGCCUAAUAACGCCGUGGAGAUCUGAGCAACUUGUUGCCUUUUCCUGCUCAGUGUCUUGUCUGGCUGGGUCGUGUGGCUUCUGAAAUGCCUUGCUUAGUGAGGGCACUGACUGUGAUGAUUGGCAGCUGUGCCAUGUCAGAAGACCAAACUGGCUCAAUCCACGGCAGGGAACUUUAAAGCCUUAAAAAGAGCAGAAUCUCCACUGCUCACAGGAGGCCAUUAAUGAUUUUCUGCUUUUGAAUCUAAGUUUAGGAUGUACCAUUAGGAUCCCAGAUAACCUUAUCAGAGAUGUCAAAAGGAGUUAGUAAGNNNNNNNNNNNNNNNNNNNNNNNNNNNNNNAAAGAAAGAAAAAGAAAAGAUGCAGAUACAGGGGAAAAUACUAUCGCAGGGAGGGCUCUCCUAGCCUCUGAAGGAGCAUUAACAAGCAUUAAUAGAUACUGGAAGGCAGUAUGUUAAUAACAGAAUAUUGGUGUUUAUCAGGCACUGUGGGUUGGGUGAAACGUCUGAUCACAGUGCUGAUAGUGAGGCCAUGAGAUGUGUUUCAAAUUGGCUGCAGAUUGUAAUUAUCUUUUUCCCCUGGCUUUUUUUUUUCCUCUUUCCUCCUCCCAUUCUGAUAUGCCACUCUCAGUGCUUAAACAUGUUUUUUCCUGUCAGGAUUCAGGAGUAAAGCGAAGCCAUUUCUGAUCUUUCACCAUGACUAGUGGUUCCUGAAUCUUGUUAAUGUUGUCAGAUCUUAUCAGAAAAACGACACAGACGUCUGCAUCAGCCCUCUGCACUGCCUGACAGUGGCUGCCACCACCCCGAAACAUGGGGACAGAAGGAAGUGGCAUCUCUGUCUGUUAUCUUUAGCUAGCACAAGUCAUGACGCAAAAGGUGUGUUAAACUUUUCCCAUGUAUAUUUCCUGCAGAACUUAUACAGUACUCUAAAAUAAUAGAAAGAGGAAAGGUGACUAAUUCAUUUGCAAUUAAAGGUUUCUUCUUUCAGGCAGCCAUCAACGUGAAUUGCAGCUGUUGCUCCACUGCAGUCUGCUGCAGCUCGCCAUGGACCAAGCACUGCUUGGCUGCAGUCACAACGCACGUGAGAAUGCCAUUAGCAUUUAAUCCUAAUUACCUUACGUGGUAAGUGCUACUGUGUCAUCUUAUCCUCCUUUCACCAUGUAGCCAUACCUAAAACCCAGAUUUCAACCUAUUUAGUGCUAGAUUCUCUUCUUGCUGCCCUGUAAGGAGUACUUCUAUUAAGCUUGGAAGAAUGAUUAGGCUCUUUAGGUGAGGCAAAAAGCAGGCUCUCAAAGUAAGCCUCUGCCUGCCUUUUUAUUUUUUCUUUCUUUCUUUUCCUUCUAAAUCUGCCUUCUUCAAGCUAAUCCAAGACCAGUAGUCUUAAUUCUGAAGAGUAUAAGAGUUUUCAUGAGUACCUGUGACUUUUCUCACAAGUUGAGAUAUCUCUUGCUUCUUACCUCCCAUCCAUGUGUUAGGAAGUUUUAAUGAUCCAGUGGAGAUACUAGAAUAUAGCAGGAUGAUGAAGGAAGAUAAAGAUAUGAGAAGAGAAGUUGGGAAUCAGUGGACAAGGGCCUUCUAGGUAGCUUACUCCUCUGCCUGCUUAGUAGAUUAUGCGAGACUUCCAAGCUUCUGGGCUGCACCAUGCUCCUUUUCAAAAGGAGUGUUUCACUCUGACCAUGUUAGGGCAACCUCUCAGACCUGAGGGAGGUUCCCAGAUACUUGUAGGGGGAAUCUGAUAAUAAACGAUAGUCAUGAGUAUCUUAAAGUUUAAUC
ensembl:lncRNA